CAAAUUGAAGCUUUAAAGUAAGCAUUUUAUUUACAUUAAAAAGAUAACUGUGAAAUUCAGUUUAAUUUGA
rnacentral:tRNA from 1 species